GUUUUGAGAGGAAAAGUUAUUUGAAUUCAGUCUCCGUGGAUGUUAUGUCCCUGACCAACGAACAAUUCUGAUAAGAUAUUGACAUCAUUGAAGCUUUGGAGGCUCAUGAUGGAGCAAGCAAGGGGAAAUACACGAUUGGGCUCGGACAGGAUUGCAUGGCGUUCUGUUCUGAGGUUGAAGAUGUAAUCUCAAUGAGCUUGACAGUUGUCACUUCCCUUCUUGAGAAGUAUAGAAUUGACCCAAA